AACGAACGCUGGCGGCAUGCCUAACACAUGCAAGUCGAACGAGACCUUCGGGUCUAGUGGCGCACGGGUGCGUAACGCGUGGGAAUCUGCCCUUGGGUUCGGAAUAACAGUUGGAAACGACUGCUAAUACCGGAUGAUGACGUAAGUCCAAAGAUUUAUCGCCCAAGGAUGAGCCCGCGUAGGAUUAGCUAGUUGGUGAGGUAAAGGCUCACCAAGGCGACGAUCCUUAGCUGGUCUGAGAGGAUGAUCAGCCACACUGGGACUGAGACACGGCCCAGACUCCGACGGGAGGCAGCAGUGGGGAAUAUUGGACAAUGGGCGAAAGCCUGAGCCAGCAAUGCCGCGUGAGUGAUGAAGGCCUUAGGGUUGUAAAGCUCUUUUACCCGGGAUGAUAAGGACAGUACCGGGAGAAUAAGCUCCGGCUAACUCCGU
rnacentral:rRNA from 1 species